rnacentral:rRNA from 1 species
UACGUAGGUGGCAAGCGUUGUCCGGAUUUACUGGGCGUAAAGAGCGCGCAGGCGGUCGUUCAAGUCGCGUGUGAAAGCCCCCGGCUCAACUGGGGAGGGUCACGCGAUACUGAUCGACUCGAAGGCAGGAGAGGGUAGUGGAAUUCCCGGUGUAGUGGUGAAAUGCGUAGAUAUCGGGAGGAACACCAGUGGCGAAGGCGACUACCUGGCCUGUUCUUGACGCUGAGGCGCGAAAGCGUGGGGAGCAAACAGG